UACGUAGGGUGCGAGCGUUGUCCGGAAUUAUUGGGCGUAAAGGGCUCGUAGGCGGUUUGUCGCGUCGGGAGUGAAAACACUGGGCUUAACUCAGUGCUUGCUUCCGAUACGGGCAGACUAGAGGUAUGCAGGGGAGAACGGAAUUCCUGGUGUAGCGGUGAAAUGCGCAGAUAUCAGGAGGAACACCGGUGGCGAAGGCGGUUCUCUGGAACGGUACUGACGCUGAGACGCGAAAGCGUGGGGAGCGAACAGG
rnacentral:rRNA from 1 species